AUGAGAAAGCAGACAUCCCUUCAACAUACUGACUUCCUUGGGUGUAUAUCCAGAAGUGAACUUGCGAGCAAUCAUAUGGUAGCUCUACUCUAAUUGUUGAGGAGACUUCAUAUUGCUUUCCGUCAUGGCUGUACUGAUCCACAUUCCCACCAACAGUCAUGGCUGCACUGAUCCACAUUCCCACCAACAGUCAUGGCUGCACUGAUCCACAUUCCCGCCAAUAGUGUGCAUAGAGGAUAGUCCACAUCCUCACCGGCCUUGUUUUCUUUCAUCUUUUUGACAAUUAGGUGUGAAGUGAUAUCUCAUUGUGGUUUUGACUUACAUUUCCUAGAUGGUUGGGGAUAUUAAGCGUUUUUUCAUAUACUCAUUGGCCUUUUGGAUGUCUUCUUUUGAGAAAUAUCUAUUCAGGUCCAUUACCUAUUUCUUAAUUGGGUUGUUUUCUUGAUAUUGAGUUGUUUGAAUUCCUUAUAUAUUUUGGCUAUUAACCCCUUAUCAAGUGGCUUCCUGGCAUGACUAAAAUUCAGAUAAUAGGUGGAGGGUGCCUGGCUGGGGCUAAACAGACGCAUCUCCAAAAAGAGUUUUGCUCCAAUCAAGGGAAAGGAGAAGGAGGCAGAGCCUAUGCAAGCCCUCAGAACCCGGCAUCAGGGAGUCUUCUACCGCCUUCACUCUCCAGAUGGCCUUGCCCACAUCUCUGGAAAGCAAAGGACCCUGCCAGCUCUUCAACAGAAGCAUUCACACCAGGUUUUCCAUCACUCCACACUCACCAGCUCUUUAGAAGGAGGCAGAGCAGCGAUCAUCCCCUCCUUGCACAGAGAGUGAGAU
rnacentral:lncRNA from 1 species